CUACCUCUACCUUUCAAACCUGCCGUUCUCUCUCUCUCUCCCUCCCUCGUUUCCCAUCUGCGUCAUCUCCGACUCCGACUUUUUUCUUUCCUUUUAACUUCAUGGGGAUCAAAACCAAAACCCUCUCCUCUCAUCCUCGCCGACGCCCACCAUGCUUCUUCGAAGAGGCAAGCCCCAUCUCAAGCUCCCCGAGAAGGAGGAGGAGGAGGAGCUCGAGAUGUUUCAAGUCGCCGGUAGAGGGCCGGCUGUCCAACGCCACGAGGAGUCGUCGGGACCAAUGACCCGCUUCAGAAGAAUCGGUAGGGGCAUGGGCAGGCUAAGGGAAGUCUCGGACGACGACACGACGACGACGGAGUUGGAAUUCGAGCUUUCUUGCAAGGUUAUAAAUUUGGAGGCAUUGCAACAAAUCGCUUGCUGUGGUCAUCUUGAUGGAGAGUCGCGUGCCACUGUGUGGAAGCUCUUACUGGGUUAUCUACCUGCUGAGAGAGAUGCAUGGGAGGGAGAGUUGGCUAACAACAGAUUAAGAUAUGCUGAACUGAAAGAAGAGCUGCUCGUUAAUCCUUCAGAAUUCUUGAGAAAGGAGGAUGAAACGUUUUCAGUGAGCAAGCAGGGUAGGAUAAUGGGUGUUGAUGGGCUACUAAGUCGGCAAAAGGUUUUUAAUGGUGACCAUCCUUUAAGUCUUGGUAAUGAUAGCAUUUGGUAUCGAUAUUUCAAGGAUGCAGAGAUUGUGGGGCAGAUUGAUCGCGAUCUUGAGCGCACACAUCCAGAUAUUGAAUUUUUCUCUGGGGAUAUCUCACAGAGCAAAAGAAACCGGGGAGCAAUGAGGAAUAUUCUUCUUCUGUUUACAAAACUGAACCCAGCAAUUGGUUAUGUACAAGGAAUGAAUGAGGUGUUAGCUCCAUUGUACUAUGUAUUGAACACAGAUCCCAAUGAGCAAAAUGCUUCAAAUGCAGAAGCAGAUAGCUUUUUCUGUUUUGUUAGAGUGAUGAGUGAUUCUGUGGACCAUUUCUGUCAACAAUUAGAUAAUAGCUCUGUGGGAAUUCACUCUACGCUUUCACGUUUAUCUGAACUCUUAAAAGGUAAUGAUGAAGAGCUAUGGCGACAUCUUGAGAACUUGAAGGAUUCGCCUGAAUAUGUAUUUUGUCAAAGUCCAUGGAUUCAUAUUUCUGUUAUAUCAUGUCAAGACAACUGCAGAGAUUGUAGAGAAUAAAGUUAGGAUCUUCUGAAGAUGCAUUGAAACCAAAAUAGGUAUUUGACUUGUUUCUAUGUGGUCAACUUCAUCUUUUUUAUGUUUAGCAUUUCCAAUGUCUGUUAAAGAUACCCUGCUUUUCAUUAAGGAUCCAGUUUCAUGCUUGUUAAUGGACUCUUCUUUAAUUCUCUUUUUUCCCGGGUGGUAACUGCAUGAAUUAAUAAGUUGUGGGCAUAUUGCUACAAGCCUAUUGUUUGCUUUUACUGAGACCUCGUGUUUGUUUAUUUCCAUCUGUUCUCUCAUGCUUCUCCCUUGGUAGGGAAACUGGAGAAACAUGGUCACAUUUAUCUGCAAUUAGAGUAUACAGAAUUAAUGUUAAAAUCUAUCAAUCAGUCAAACUGAAGUACAAAUCACAAAUAUUUCUAACUCUCUUGUUGGCCACAUACGUUUUUAACUCCCUUUUAUGCUACUCUCUUGUUAAGAAUUUUGGGAAAAUCAUGGUUGCUUUCAGUUGCCAUCAUAGUACACACCAUAGAGGAUAAAUGUCGAUGUUGGUCACUCUUUAUUGACGUCAAUUGGUUUUACUUAUACAAUACUCACCCUCAGUAGUAAAAAUGAUGCUUCUUUAUUUGUGGUUGUUUACAAGAAUUAUUUUAUCACGAUGCUAGCCAUAUGGUGUUUUAUAUUUUGUUGGUUUUGUUAUGUUUUAAGUGUAGAUGACAAAAGUAAUUCCCUGCUAUUAUUUAAUACUUGGAUGGUUCAUUUAUUAUUACUUUAUGUAUUUUUUUUUAUUUUACAUUUUGUAAUAUAACACUUCUUUAUCCUUGAUUUUAAUUGAAGACAGUGUAAUAUUUUUUGUUUUCCUAAAUAAUAUAUGGAUAUUUGUUGUCUGAUACCCCCCCCCCCCCUCCUCCUCCUCCCUACCCGUGCUCCACAAAAAAGAAAGAGUCAUUUCUGAUGUUCAUACCUUGACUAAUGGAGAAUAUGAACAUGUUCUUAUAGAUGCUACUGGUGGAUGUUUUUUGCAUCAACAUACCCGCAGAGAUGGUUCCUUGACUGCUCCAUUGUCCUCAAGGGGAAUGGUUCUUUGAUUGCUACAUAUAUAGGCAUCUCAGUAUCCGCUCACAUACACUAUUAGCUACUAAUAGUCCCUCUGUCCUUGUUAAUCUAGUAAAUAGUUUUUGAUUAUAGGGCAUUGGACCAUGCUGGCGUGGCUUAAUAAAGCCGACUGACUGUAGGUUUGCUUUAUUUCUUAUUAAUUUUUCUGAAGUACCUGCAAAUUUAUAAUAUCAUCAUUUCCCAAUAAAUCAUUUGAUUCUGAAGUACACGGCAGAAGCACCAAAAAAUAAAUUGACGUGUCCUUCAGAAUCAAAUGAUUUAAUAUUUGUUCCAAAUCUAUGCAUGGUAUAGCAUAGGACAAUCAAUAAACUUCAUGGUAGCAUGCAGGACUAGUAUCGUAAACUGAUGGACUAAAAGCAAACUGAUGUUUCCAUUUGUCCUCCCAUAGAUAUCUUACAAUCUCUUACAGAGCCAGGUGUAAUUCACUCCAUUAUACAGGUGAACCCACAGUUCUAUGCAUUCAGGUGGAUCACCUUGCUAUUAACUCAGGAAUUUGAGUUUCAUUGUAUCAUGAGGAUAUGGGAUUGCCUCCUCAGCAAUCCCUUGGGUGUGCAGGAGAUGCUGCUGAGAGUCUGCUGUGCCAUGCUGGUCUGUGCGAGGCAUGAGCUUUUGAAAGGCGACUUCACAUCAAAUUUGAAACUUCUCCAACAUUACCCUGAAAUCGACCUAGAUUAUCUACUAGAUACAGCUCAUCAUCUGACUCCCAUUUCAUAAUCUCAUUCACUUGACUGCUUUUUGAUGACAGAUGGACCAUAAAAUGGUCAAAAGAUUUGCGUAAAUAGUUGGACCACUCAAGAACUAUAUUGUGGGAUGUGGGUACUGUGCAUGCAUGAGUACUUUGUACUUAUGCUGGUUGGUUUGGAUGUUCCAAUAAUUAUAAUGCCUUUAGCAGAUUCUGUGAAUGAUGAUUAGCUAAAAAAAAAAAGGUUAAGAACUAGUAUAAAUAGAGAUUCUAUAGCUCAGUUUUAUGAUUCA